AAGUCGUAACAAGGUUUCCGUAGGUGAACCUGCGGAAGGAUCAUUAACACGUAUCCAACGUUAAAACAACCCCGUGAACUUUCAGCUUGCUCCUGUAGCCCGUGAAAGCAGCAAUCCCGACCUCUGCAGAUUGUGAUAUUUUAUAGCUACGGUUGAGCGAUUGCAUCUAGUGACCUGGCAUCCCCAAGUAAUCAGUGUUCUGAAAGUGUCAUUGAUUGUGUAAGGAUGGCGCAGUCACGAUCGCUGUAGGCCCACACGGCCGGCGACCGGGUCACCGGGCUCUGCUCCUUUACGACAACUACAGUCUAACUUCGCCGCGCGUGAAAUUCGCACGGCACCAAAAACCGAACAACUGUUAACAAUGGAUAUCUUGGUUCUC
rnacentral:misc_RNA from 1 species